rnacentral:rRNA from 1 species
UACGUAGGGGCGUAGCGUUGUCCGGAUUUAUUGGGCGUAAAGAGCGUGUAGGCGGCCAGGUAGGUCGGUUGUGAAAACUAGAGGCUUAACCUCUAGACGUCGACCGAAACCAUCUGGCUAGAGUCCGGAAGAGGAGAGUGGAAUUCCUGGUGUAGCGGUGAAAUGCGCAGAUAUCAGGAAGAACACCCGUGGCGAAAGCGGCUCUCUGGGACGGUACUGACGCUGAGGUGCGAAAGCGUGGGGAGGCAAACAGG